CAGUUCUGUUCCUUCUGGUACUGGUGGGUUUGUGAAGACAAUUACAUACGGUGCCUCAUCUGACUCGGAAGAUAAGGAUAUACCUCUGCUGGCUGGGAAAUUGAUUCCAACUUUGGAACGGCUCGAAUUAAUCAGCGAGGAUAAAGUAGGGCGCAGGCUCAAGGUGUUCCGCAGAUUAGUUAGUUCGCUGAAAGAAAUAGCCAUCCAAAAGUUGGCUUGAUUCACAUCCAAUAACUUGCGUUGUAAGAUCGAUGUUUAGAGUAAAUUUCAGGGUGUCCACAUAAAAUGUAGCAUGUUUAAUGCGUGAAAUCAUGUGAUCUUACUUUAUGCUUCUGUAAAUGUAUAUUAUAUAUCAAUUGUAUGUAUGAAAUUAUUUGCUUAUGAGAGUUUCGCAGACAUUUUCAACAUGUCAGUUUCCCA